CAAAAUAUAUCAUUUUCAACACCACAAGCCCUGCAGACCAUGUGUGUUUAGUCUGCAGGGCUUGUGGUGUUGAAAAUGAUAUAUUUUGGUCCAC
rnacentral:pre_miRNA from 1 species